rnacentral:rRNA from 1 species
UACGUAGGGCGCAAGCGUUAUCCGGAAUUAUUGGGCGUAAAGAGCUCGUAGGCGGUUUGUCGCGUCUGCUGUGAAAACUGGAGGCUCAACCUCCAGCCUGCAGUGGGUACGGGCAGACUAGAGUGCGGUAGGGGAGAUUGGAAUUCCUGGUGUAGCGGUGGAAUGCGCAGAUAUCAGGAGGAACACCAAUGGCGAAGGCAGCUCGCUGGGACGGUACUGACGCUGAGACGCGAAAGCGUGGGGAGCGAACAGG